AGUACUACUGUUUUAGUUUUGAGGAUUUUGUUUUAUUUGUUUUUUUAAUUAAUUUUUUUUAUGUGCAUUGGUGUUCUACCUGGAAGUAUGUCUGUAUGAGGCUAUCAGAUCCUGGAGUUACAGUUGUGAGCCGCCAAGUGGGAGCUGGGAUUUGAACCUAGGUCCUCUGGGAGAGCAGUCAGUGCUCCCAACUGCUGAGCCAUCUCUCCAGCCCCUUGUUUUAUUUUUUGCGACAGGGUCUCACUGUAUACACCAGGCUGGCCUCUGCCAGCUGAGUACUGGGACUAAAGGCUCACAUGACCAAGCCUGGCUGGUUUGGUUCUUUUGAGACAAUGUGUCCUGUAGCCCUGCUGGUGUCAAACUUGCUGUGUAGCCAGAAUGACCCUCUCUCCACCUUCAGAGCACUGAGAUGACGUUUGUGCACCAUUAUUCUUUUUAUUUUUAGGGUACUGA
rnacentral:lncRNA from 1 species